CGCGAUUGGUAUGCGUCCGUUUUUAUUGUCGCUUUAUAAGUGACAGUGCGCGACAGUAAACAGACGACGUUUUCCUGGUCUUCGUCUUUUCACUACAGACCCAGGCUUCCCGUUUGUCUCAGUUUAAGGCUUUGGAGUUUGAGAAUUUCAUACGAUACGUGUUGACACUGCAGCGUCAAGAUGUCGUACAUGCUACCGCAUCUCCACAACGGCUGGCAGGUCGACCAAGCCAUUCUAUCCGAGGAGGACAGAGCCCUGGUCAUUAGGUUUGGACACGAUUGGGACCCAACAUGUAUGAAAAUGGACGAAGUAUUGUACAGUAUAGCUGAAAAGGUGAAGAACUUUGCAGUCAUCUAUUUGGUGGACAUCACAGAGGUGCCGGACUUCAACAAGAUGUACGAGUUGUAUGAUCCUUGCACCGUCAUGUUCUUCUUCAGGAACAAGCACAUCAUGAUAGAUCUGGGGACUGGUAACAACAACAAGAUCAACUGGACCAUGGAGGACAAGCAGGAGAUGAUUGACAUUGUUGAGACCGUUUACCGAGGGGCGAGAAAAGGACGAGGUCUGGUCGUAUCUCCUAAGGACUACUCCACAAAAUACAGAUACUGAUUGGUUCUUCCCUUUCCAUUGCUUUGUGUGAAGCCCAAUGGGAGCAAAUCUGUCCUUUCAUUAUGAGACUUUCUAGACAGCUGGACUACAAAAAGGCUCAGAUCGAGGUGUCCUGCUCUCUUUUAUGUUAUAGCCAAGUCAUCUUUUUUCAACAGCAGUUAUAAAAACCAUUUGGUGUCUUUGAUUUAAUAAAUGUUAUGCUCAUAUUUUAUAUUGCCAUUUAGUUAUCACUUCACAGCCUGUAUUCUUGGACCCAGAUUGAUUAUUAAGUCAAGGACUAGCUUCUUUCUCAAUAAGGAAUCUCCAUUGAAAGUGUGUUUUUAGUGUAGGACUAGGCUUAAUCUGGGUCUGGAAAAUUGGCCCAUAUGUUUAAUCUGUAUGUAUAUGUGACUUGUUUCUUCUGAAAUGCUAUGGGUAGUGCUGCGAUGACAGGAAGAUCGAGGAAAGACUUGGAAUUCUUUUGUAUUAUAGUUUUUUCUAUGUAUUGUGUUUACAUUGUAAAAUCCCCCACAAAUGACAUCCCGUUAAAUGAGAAAGCAUAUGCCAUAGGCUGUUACAUAACAAUAGAUCAGUAAUAACCUGCCUAUGUGUGGCCUUUUGUCAUGCCACAUCUGUCUUUAGUGGAACCUCAGAAAUCAAGUGAAGUUAGCUGAUCUGAUAUGUGUUAACCUGAUGGCUUGGUCACUUAGGAGUCUGCUGCUCAUCCAUACCAGCCUGGGUCAUGAGGUCGGCAACAUUCUUCUCCAGGUCAUCAAUUCGAGUCCCCAUGUCAUCCAGUGGGUUGGUUAAGGGCAGUCUUGAAAUAUAUGUAGUUAUACACUGUGUCUAGGUUGUACAUUAAACAUUUAUUUAUAGAGCAAAUAAAUUAAAUUCAUAUUUUAUUCUCAAAUCCACUAGAUUAGGACUUUCAUAUAAAGCCUUUUUAAUCUGAUUAAAAAAAUAGCUGCAAUUUU